UACGAAGGGGGCUAGCGUUGUUCGGAAUUACUGGGCGUAAAGGGCGCGUAGGCGGCCAUUCAAGUUAGGUGUGAAAGCCCUGGGCUCAACCUAGGAAUUGCACUUGAUACUGUUUGGCUUGAGUUCGGGAGAGGUGAGUGGAAUUCCCAGUGUAGAGGUGAAAUUCGUAGAUAUUGGGAAGAACACCAGUGGCGAAGGCGGCUCACUGGACCGACACUGACGCUGAGGCGCGAAAGCGUGGGGAGCAAACUGG
rnacentral:rRNA from 1 species